rnacentral:piRNA from 1 species
AUCUGCGAUCAGCAUGCACCUCAGGUC